AUAGAGUCAAGUGAAUAAGUGCAUCAGGCGGAUGCCUUGGCGAUGAUAGGCGACGAAGGACGUGUAAGCCUGCGAAAAGCGCGGGGGAGCCGGCAAUAAAGCAAUGAUUCCGCGAUGUCCGAAUGGGGAAACCCACUGCAUUCUGUGCAGUAUCCUAAGUUGAAUACAUAGACUUAGAGAAGCGAACCCGGAGAACUGAACCAUCUAAGUACCCGGAGGAAAAGAAAUCAACCGAGAUUCCGCAAGUAGUGGCGAGCGAACGCGGAGGAGCCUGUACGUAAUAACUGUCGAGAUAGAAGAACAAGCUGGGAAGCUUGACCAUAGUGGGUGACAGUCCCGUAUUCGAAAUCUCAACAGCGGUACUAAGCGUACGAAAAGUAGGGCGGGACACGUGAAAUCCUGUCUGAAUAUGGGGGACCAUCCUCCAAGGCUAAAUACUCAUCAUCGACCGAUAGUGAACCAGUACCGUGAGGGAAAGGCGAAAAGAACCCCGGGAGGGGAGUGAAACAGAACCUGAAACCUGAUGCAUACAAACAGUGGGAGCGCCCUAGAGGUGUGACUGCGUACCUUUUGUAUAAUGGGUCAACGACUUACAUUCAGUAGCGAGCUUAACCGAAUAGGGGAGGCGUAGGGAAACCGAGUCUUAAUAGGGCGAUGAGUUGCUGGGUGUAGACCCGAAACCGAGUGAUCUAUCCAUGGCCAGGUUGAAGGUGCCGUAACAGGUACUGGAGGACCGAACCCACGCAUGUUGCAAAAUGCGGGGAUGAGCUGUGGAUAGGGGUGAAAGGCUAAACAAACUCGGAGAUAGCUGGUUCUCCCCGAAAACUAUUUAGGUAGUGCCUCGAGCAAGACACUGAUGGGGGUAAAGCACUGUUAUGGCUAGGGGGUUAUUGCAACUUACCAACCCAUGGCAAACUCAGAAUACCAUCAAGUGGUUCCUCGGGAGACAGACAGCGGGUGCUAACGUCCGUUGUCAAGAGGGAAACAACCCAGACCGCCAGCUAAGGUCCCCAAUGAUAGAUUAAGUGGUAAACGAAGUGGGAAGGCCCAGACAGCCAGGAUGUUGGCUUAGAAGCAGCCAUCAUUUAAAGAAAGCGUAAUAGCUCACUGGUCGAGUCGUCCUGCGCGGAAGAUGUAACGGGGCUCAAAUCUAUAACCGAAGCUGCGGAUGCCGGUUUAUCGGCAUGGUAGGGGAGCGUUCUGUAGGCCGAUGAAGGUGCAUUGUAAAGUGUGCUGGAGGUAUCAGAAGUGCGAAUGUUGACAUGAGUAGCGAUAAAGCGGGUGAAAAGCCCGCUCGCCGAAAGCCCAAGGUUUCCUGGCGCAACGUUCAUCGGCGUAGGGUGAGUCGGCCCCUAAGGCGAGGGCAGAAAUGCGUAGUCGAUGGGAAACAGGUUAAUAUUCCUGUACUUGAUUCAAAUGCGAUGUGGGGACGGAGAAGGUUAGGUUGGCAAGCUGUUGGAAUAGCUUGUUUAAGCCGGUAGGUGGAAGACUUAGGCAAAUCCGGGUCUUCUUAACACCGAGAAGUGACGACGAGUGUCUACGGACACGAAGCAACCGAUACCACGCUUCCAGGAAAAGCCACUAAGCUUCAGUUUGAAUCGAACCGUACCGCAAACCGACACAGGUGGGCAGGAUGAGAAUUCUAAGGCGCUUGAGAGAACUCAGGAGAAGGAACUCGGCAAAUUGAUACCGUAACUUCGGGAGAAGGUAUGCCCUCUAAGGUUAAGGACUUGCUCCGUAAGCCCCGGAGGGUCGCAGAGAAUAGGUGGCUGCGACUGUUUAUUAAAAACACAGCACUCUGCUAACACGAAAGUGGACGUAUAGGGUGUGACGCCUGCCCGGUGCUGGAAGGUUAAUUGAAGAUGUGAGAGCAUCGGAUCGAAGCCCCAGUAAACGGCGGCCGUAACUAUAACGGUCCUAAGGUAGCGAAAUUCCUUGUCGGGUAAGUUCCGACCCGCACGAAUGGCGUAACGAUGGCCACACUGUCUCCUCCUGAGACUCAGCGAAGUUGAAGUGGUUGUGAAGAUGCAAUCUACCCGCUGCUAGACGGAAAGACCCGUGAACCUUUACUGUAGCUUUGCAUUGGACUUUGAAGUCACUUGUGUAGGAUAGGUGGGAGGCUUAGAAGCAGAGACGCCAGUCUCUGCGGAGCCGUCCUUGAAAUACCACCCUGGUGUCUUUGAGGUUCUAACCCAGACCCGUCAUCCGGGUCGGGGACCGUGCAUGGUAGGCAGUUUGACUGGGGCGGUCUCCUCC
rnacentral:rRNA from 1 species